AAAAAGAGUUCACGAUGUUUUCCGACGAGCUCGUAAAUGACGUAAACAAUCCGUUCGCCGAAACGCUGCAACGUGCGGCGAGAGAUAAGCGCGACAGCCUACGCGCGUGCUCGGUAUGCCGCCUCAGUACGCGUCGUUUGAUACACUGAUAUCCGCAACGGGUUAGUGCACUACAGUUCCUGCCGGCUGCACACGGCGUCUUAUCGCGCUUCGGACAAGUGCGCGCACAACGAUCUUUUUUUCUAUUUUAAGCACGUCCGCCGAGAAAGCCGCGAGGAUCUAGACAUUUGGACACGCGCGCGCGAGCGCGGUAUACGCGUAACGUAUUACGGAAUAUCGGAUUUGAGAUGAAGAACGGGCGUGAGAGAAUAUGGUAUAACGUUACGCCACGCGUCUGAACUUGCGACUUUGCAAGAUGCAAUUAUGCAACGUCUGAUCGCCGUACGUUAUUAUAUCGCGCAGCGGGAUAAUUUCACGGUGGCACGCGAGACCGUGGUGCAUCCCCAUAUUCCGCGCGGCGCGUCCGCGUGCGCGAACCUGCAGCGUGGAAUCUUGACCGCGCGCGAUCCAUGUGGGAAUUAAUUAACGACGCCGGCCUUACGUUGCAAAUCGAUAAAAGCGAUGCAAUAUGCCAACGCGAUAUUCCCGGUGGCUGUUAUUACACAAAAAAAAAAAACGUAUACUUUGCACGUCGCAAUUACGCGCCGAAAGAGAAUAGUCAUUAUUCUCGCCGGCGGACGAUCAAGCCUCGUCUCGACUACGAGUUCCUUCCGCAUGCGAAUGUAAAUUACGUAAAGACGCGGUUAAUCAGAAGCGGAAGGAACGAAGAGAGUCAUUCGCGGAUUGUUCGCGUGGAGGUUUCCUCGCGCAGCCUUCUUCCUCCACGUUUGGCAUUUAUUUAAUGUGUUCGAAGAUCAUAACGAGCAAUAACGAUCAUCGUUUCGCGCUCAUUUACAUGCAAUCUAACUUUGCAAACUUUUUUUUUUUUUAAAUACCGCGUUUGCAAAUAUUGUCAAACGCGGGGAAUUCCCGAGAUACCCGAUACGCGCAUUUAAAAGAAAACAUACUUGGUCGACUUAUUUGCAGGUGGGACAUGCGCACGCGCGUCACGGCAAACUACUAUAUCAAGUUUGGAGUUGGCCGCCUCGUCUUCUGCGAAGUCGUUUAUGAGGUACUUCUGCUUUAAUAGUAUAUCGAUCCUUCAUACACGGUAUUCGUUGAUGUAGGACGGAAACGAUUACUUCUGAAUGAAAAUUUCGAGGCGGCGCUUAGAAACGAAGAAGAAAUGUUCACCUAGAUACUUCCAUUCACUGCACUGUUUCACUCUUUGGCAAUGCGCGAAUGCACUUUAUCCCGCAUUCAGGAUGACUAUUGGUUUUGUAAACAACUGCAGGCAGCCGGCCAAAACAUCCUUUCACGAAUUGCGAAAAGUGUGUAUUGACGGAUAUAUUUGCGAGUGUAAAUUAACAAUUUCCGCUGGUGCCAUUUACAUUUCGAUAUCGAAACAAUUGCGACAAGUAUAUUCCGGUGAUGCAAGAAUGAUAUAAUGAUUUUGCUGCAAAAAUAAAAAAUGACAAUUUUCUCCCUC